UGCCCCACCCGCGUACCGCUUUAACGCCCGUAACUGGCUCCAGGAUCAAGCCGAACCAGGGAGUUGCGGCCCGAAAUCACCCCAACCUCUCUCCCGAUUAAUAUCCAAGCGGAAUAACCUAAGGAAGGUGGUGGAGAUUCAGUCUUACCAUCGAAUAGUCUAUCUCAAACUUGAAAGAAAGAAUGGCACAAUCAAUCAAGGAAUAUUUGUGUGACAGACAUUUCUAUAAGGAAGUGAAGACAUCCAGUCUCCAUAAAUGGGAAGAUAAUAUGUGCUGGAAAUAUGGAAGUGAAAAAGACACAAAAUUCCUGCCCUUAUGAAGACUGCAUUCUACCAAGGGAAAUAAACAAUAAAAAAAGAAUUUUUUCAGGAUGAGAGAA